UACGUAGGGUGCAAGCGUUGUCCGGAAUUAUUGGGCGUAAAGAGCUCGUAGGCGGUCUGUCGCGUCGGCUGUGAAAACUCGGGGCUCAACCCCGAGCCUGCAGUCGAUACGGGCAGACUAGAGUGCAGUAGGGGAGACUGGAAUUCCUGGUGUAGCGGUGAAAUGCGCAGAUAUCAGGAGGAACACCGGUGGCGAAGGGCGGGUCUCUGGGGCAUUAACUGACGCUGAGGAGCGAAAGCAUGGGGAGCGAACAGG
rnacentral:rRNA from 1 species